GUAGCUCAGUUGGUUAGAGCGCACCCCUGAUAAGGGUGAGGUCGGCAGUUCGAAUCUGCCCAGACCCACCAAUUGUUGGUGUGCUGCGUGAUCCGAUACGGGGCCAUAGCUCAGCUGGGAGAGCGCCUGCUUUGCACGCAGGAGGUCAGGAGUUCGAUCCUCCUUGGCUCCACCAUCUAAAACAAUCGUCGAAAGCUCAGAAAUGAAUGUUCGUAGAUGAACAUUGAUUUCUGGUCUUUGCACCAGAACUGUUCUUUAAAAAUUCGGGUAUGUGAUAGAAGUAAGACUGAAUGAUCUCUUUCACUGGUGAUCAUUCAAGUCAAGGUAAAAUUUGCGAGUUCAAGCGCGAAUUUUCGGCGAAUGUCGUCUUCACAGUAUAACCAGAUUGCUUGGGGUUUUAUAUGGUCAAAA
rnacentral:tRNA from 1 species